rnacentral:rRNA from 1 species
GAUGAACGCUGGCGGCGUGCCUAAUACAUGCAAGUCGAGCGAACAGACGAGGAGCUUGCUCCUCUGACGUUAGCGGCGGACGGGUGAGUAACACGUGGAUAACCUACCUAUAAGACUGGGAUAACUUCGGGAAACCGGAGCUAAUACCGGAUAAUAUAUUGAACCGCAUGGUUCAAUAGUGAAAGACGGUUUUGCUGUCACUUAUAGAUGGAUCCGCGCCGCAUUAGCUAGUUGGUAAGGUAACGGCUUACCAAGGCAACGAUGCGUAGCCGACCUGAGAGGGUGAUCGGCCACACUGGAACUGAGACUCGGUACAUACUCCUACGGGAGGCAGCAGUAGGGAAUCUUCCGCAAUGGGGCAAAUCUUGACGGGGCAACGCCGCGUGAGUGAUGAAGGUCUUCGGAUCGUAAAACUCUGUUAUUAGGGAAGAACAAAUUUGUAAGUAACUAUGCACGUCUUGACGGUACCUAAUCAGAAAGCCACGGCUAACUACGUG